rnacentral:piRNA from 1 species
UGGGAAUCAGGUCACUGCAGUAGGUA